rnacentral:snRNA from 1 species
GUGCUCAAUUCAGCAACAGAUAUACUGCGAUUGGAAUGAUACAGAGGAGAUAACAAUAAACCCUACACAAAUAUGGCAUGGAAAUUUAUGAAGCAUUCCAUACUAAA